rnacentral:rRNA from 1 species
UACGAAGGGGGCGAGCGUUGUUCGGAUUUACUGGGCGUAAAGGGCGCGCAGGCGGCUAUCCAAGUCAGGCGUGAAAGCCCCGGGCUUAACCUGGGAGGCGCGUCUGGGACUGAGUGGCUAGAGUUCGGGAGAGGAGAGUGGAAUUCCCAGUGUAGAGGUGAAAUUCGUAGAUAUCGGGAGGAACACCAAUGGCGAAAGCAGCUCGCUGGACAGGUCCUGACACUGAGACGCGAAAGCGUGGGUAGCAAACGGG